rnacentral:rRNA from 1 species
CAAACCCUUUCUUGGGGUAGUAUUUAUUAGAUGGAAACCAACCCCUUCGGGGUGAUGUGGUGAUUCAUAAUAAGUUUGCGGAUCGCCGGUGGCGAUGGAUCAUUCAAGUUUCUGCCCUAUCAGCUUUGGACGGUAAGGUAUUGGCUUACCGUGGCUUUAACGGGUAACGGGGAAUUAGGGUUCGAUUCCGGAGAGGGGGCCUGAGAGAUGGCCACCACAUCCAAGGAAGGCAGCAGGCGCGUAAAUUACCCAAUCUUGACACAAGGAGGUAGUGACAAUAAAUAACAAUGCCGGGCCUUAUAGGUCUGGCAAUUGGAAUGAGAACAAUUUAAACCCCUUAUCGAGGAUCAAUUGGAGGGCAAGUCUGGUGCCAGCAGCCGCGGUAAUUCCAGCUCCAAUAGCGUAUAUUAAACACGUU